AGGUCAAGCGAACAAGGGCGCAGGGCGAAUGCCUUGGCACUGGGAGCCGAUGAAAGACGUGAUAAGCUGCGAUAAGCUUCGGGGAGCUGCAAAUAAGCAUUGAUCCGGAGAUUUCUGAAUGAGGAAACUCACCUGGGUUCAUACUCAGGUACGUUAUACUGAACUUCAAAAUAGGUAUAUCGAGGGAACCGCCUGAACUGAAACAUCUAAGUAGGGCGAGGAAGAGACAUCAAACGAGAUUCCGUAAGUAGUGGCGAGCGAACGCGGAAGAGGGCAAACCGAGAGUAGAAAUACUUUCGGGGUACGGACUGCUUUUAGGACUUAAUCUGUUAACCGAACGGCAUGGGAAGGCCGGUCAGAGAGUGUGAGAACCACGUAGGUGAAAACGGAGAGAGCUGCGCAGAAUCCAGAGUACGGCCAGACACGUGAAACCUGGUCGGAAUAUGGGGGGACCACCCUCCAACCCUAAAUACUACCCAGUGACCGAUAGCGUAUAGUACUGUGAAGGAAAGGUGAAAAGCACCCCGGGAGGGGAGUGAAAAAGAACCUGAAACCCUGUGCCUACAAGCACCUAGAGCGCGUCAAUGCGUGAUAGGGUACUUUUUGUAGAACGGUCCGGCGAGCGAUUGUAUGCAGCAAGGUUAAGGACUUAAGGUCUGGAGCCGAAGCGAAAGCGAGUUUGAAAAGGGCGUUAAGUUGCAUAUAAUGGGCCCGAAACCGGGUGACCUACCCAUGGUCAGGUUGAAGUGGAAGUAAAAUUCCAUGGAGGACCGAACCGACCUCCGUUGAAAAGGCGGCGGAUGAACUGUGGGUAGCGGAGAAAUUCCAAUCGAACCCGGAGAUAGCUGGUUCUCCCCGAAAUAGUUUUAGGACUAGCCUCAAGUUAGAUACCUGGAGGUAAAGCACUGAAUAGCCUAGCGGCCGAGAGGUUAGCGAAGCUUAUCAAACUCAGAAUGCCAGAGUAUUGAUGCUUGGGAGUCAGACAGUGUCAGAUAAAUGUCAUUGUCAAAAGGGAAACAGCCCAGAUCUACAGCUAAGGUCCCAAAGUCAGGUUAAGUGGAAAACGAUGUGAAGAUACGUAGACAACCAGGAUGUUGGCUCAGAAGCAGCCACUCAUUCAAAGAGUGCGUAAUAGCUCACUGGUCGAGCGUCUUUGCGCGGAGAAUUUAACGGGGCUAAACCUGACACCGAAGCUUAGGCAGCAUGUUUACAUGCUGGGUAGGGGAGCGUUGUAUACGCGGUGAAACAGUAGCGCAAGCGGCUGUGGAGUGUAUAGAAGUGAGAAUGCCGGAAUGAGUAGCGCGAAUGCAGUGAGAAUCUGCAUGGCCGAAAGCCUCAGGUUUCUGGAGGAAGGUUCGUCCGCUCCAGGUUAGUCGGGAGCUAAGGUGAGGCCUAACGGCGUAGCCGAUGCACAGACGGUAGAGAUUCCGUCACCACCAAAAGAGUUAAACACAGGGACACAUAUGAAGUCUCGGAGCCGGGUGUUGGUUCCGGUAGCGAUCGAGGGAAGUUAGUACCGAAGUCCGAGAUGGAAGAUGGCGAGAAAAGCUGUGUGAAUUUCUGCGGUGCCCGUACCGCAAACCGACACAGGUAGGUAGGAAGAAGAUUCUAAGGCCAACGGGAGAAGGGUUGUUAAGGAACUCGGCAAAUUGACCCCGUAACUUCGGGAGAAGGGGUGCUGCAGCAAUGCAGCCGCAGAGAAUCGGCCCAAGCAACUGUUUACCAAAAACACAGGUUUGUGCUAAAUCGAAAGAUGACGUAUACGAGCUGACGCCUGCCCGGUGCUGGAAGGUUAAGAGGAGAUGUGCAAGCAUUGAAUCGAAGCCCCAGUGAACGGCGGCCGUAACUAUAACGGUCCUAAGGUAGCGAAAUUCCUUGUCAGGUAAGUUCUGACCCGCAUGAAAGGCGUAAUGAUUUGGGCACUGUCUCAACAGCCCGCCCGGCGAAAUUGUAGUACCGGUGAAGAUGCCGGUUACCCGCGACAAGACGGAAAGACCCCAUGGAGCUUUACUGUAGCCUAAUAUUGGGUUUCGAUGUUGCAUGCACAGGAUAGAUGGGACACUGGGAAGCAGGUGCUUUGGCGCUUGUGGAGUGGCCGUUGGGAUACCAUCCUUGCGAUAUUGGAAUUCUAACCUGCGCCUUUGAAUCAAGGCGGGGGACAUUGUUAGGUGGGCAGUUUGACUGGGGCGGUCGCCUCCUAAAGAGUAACGGAGGCGUUCAAAGGUUCGCUCAGCUUGAACGGAAAUCAAGCAAAAGAGUGCAAACGCAGAAGCGAGCCUAACUGCGAGACUGACGGGUCGAGCAGUAACGAAAGUUGGAGUUAGUGAUCCGGUGGUAUGUGAGUGGAAAUGCCAUCGCUCAACGGAUAAAAGUUACCCUGGGGAUAACAGGCUGAUCUCCCCCAAGAGUCCACAUCGACGGGGAGGUUUGGCACCUCGAUGUCGGCUCAUCGCAUCCUGGGGCUGUAUUCGGUCCCAAGGGUUUGGCUGUUCGCCAAUUAAAGCGGUACGCGAGCUGGGUUCAGAACGUCGUGAGACAGUUCGGUCCCUAUCUGUCGUGGGCGCAGGAUAUUUGAUGGGAGCUGUUCCUAGUACGAGAGGACCGGAGCGGACGUACCUCUGGCGCACCAGUUGUUCUGCCAAGAGCAUAGCUGGGCAACUAUGUACGGAUCGGAUAAACGCUGAAAGCAUCUAAGCGUGAAGCCGACCCAAAGAUAAGAUAUCCCAUUGUUUCAAACAAGUAAGACCCCUUGAAGACUACAAGGUUGAUAGGCACGAUGUGUAAGUGGAGUGAUCCAUUCAGCAAGCGUGUACUAAUAGGUCGAGGGCUUGACCACA
rnacentral:rRNA from 1 species